UCGAGAAUUUUUCACAAUGGGCGAAAGCCUGAUGGAGCGACGCCGCGUGGGGGAUGAAUGGCUUCGGCCCGUAAACCCCUGUCAUUCGCGAUCAACCCUUAGUAUUUAAAAGAUGCUAAGCUGAUAGUAGCGGAAGAGGAAGGGACGGCUAACUCUGUGCCAGCAGCCGCGGUAAUACAGAGGUCCCAAGCGUUGUUCGGAUUCACUGGGCGUAAAGGGUGCGUAGGUGGUGACGUAAGUCGGAUGUGAAAUCUCGGGGCUCAACUCCGAAAUGGCAUUGGAAACUGCGGCGCUUGAGGGUCGGAGGGGGGACUGGAAUUCUCGGUGUAGCAGUGAAAUGCGUAGAUAUCGGGAGGAACACCAGUGGCGAAGGCGAGUCCCUGGACGACUCCUGACACUGAGGCACGAAAGCUAGGGGAGCAAACA
rnacentral:rRNA from 1 species